AACAUUAUGGUACAGACUUCCUGACACUCCCACUAACCACCACCCUAAAUACAAUAUGCUACUACAUCAGCCCCUCUCCUUUCACCUCAGAGCUUAAUCCAGGAGACACUCAUAUCUCUCCUCCACUGAGGAAACAUAUUCAUCUUCUCCAUCAAGUCUUCUUCACUAUGAUCAGGGUUCUGAUUCACCUGGCAGCUCUACCACUCUGGGUGACAGGGCAGUCGCUUAGUAGCAAAGUCAAUUCAGACUCCUAUUGCAAUACUAAAAGGAUCUAAAGAUAAUAACCAUCAACAUGAUCAAGCUUCCCAUACAUGCUGCAGCUCUUCCACUGUGGGUGACAGGGCUGUCACAAACAGACCAAGUCCAGCAGACUCCUACUGCAAUACUAAAAGGACCUGACGAUAACGUUCAACUGAACUGCAGCCAUACUGUUCCAAGCUACAACAUGAUACUGUGGUACCAGCAGUCAGAACAAGACACUGCUCUGAAACUCAUUGGGUUCUUCUCUGAGUAAACAGGUUGACUAGAGUGCUGCAGCCCUGUACAAGAACCAGGAAGAGUCUGCUAAGAUGGAGUGUUCACAUAGAAUACCAAACUGUACCAUCGUUCUCUGGUACAAACAAGAUGGAGUGUUCACAUAGAAUACCAAACUGUACCAUCGUUCUCUGGUACAAACAAGAUGGAGUGUUCACAUAGAAUACCAAACUGUACCAUCGUUCUCUGGUACAAACAAGAUGGAGUGUUCACAUAGAAUACCAAACUUUACCAUCGUUCUCUGGUACAAACAAGAUGGAGUGUUCACAUAGAAUACCAAACUAUACCAUCGUUCUCUGGUACAAACAAGAUGGAGUGUUCACAUAGAAUACCAAACUGUACCAUCGUUCUCUGGUACAAACAAGAUGGAGUGUUCACAUAGAAUACCAAACUGUACCAUCGUUCUCUGGUACAAACAAGAUGGAGUGUUCACAUAGAAUACCAAACUAUACCAUCGUUCUCUGGUACAAACAAGAUGGAGUGUUCACAUAGAAUACCAAACUGUACCAUCGUUCUCUGGUACAAACAAGAUGGAGUGUUCACAUAGAAUACCAAACUGUACCAUCGUUCUCUGGUACAAACAAGAUGGAGUGUUCACAUAGAAUACCAAACUAUACCAUCGUUCUCUGGUACAAACAAGAUGGAGUGUUCACAUAGAAUACCAAACUAUACCAUCGUUCUCUGGUACAAACAAGAUGGAGUGUUCACAUAGAAUACCAAACUAUACCAUCGUUCUCUGGUACAAACAAGAUGGAGUGUUCACAUAGAAUACCAAACUAUACCAUCGUUCUCUGGUACAAACAAGAUGGAGUGUUCACAUAGAAUACCAAACUAUACCAUCGUUCUCUGGUACAAACAAGAUGGAGUGUUCACAUAGAAUACCAAACUACAACAUUGUUCUCUGGUACAAACAAGAUGGAGUGUUCACAUAGAAUACCAAACUAUACCAUCGUUCUCUGGUACAAACAAGAUGGAGUGUUCACAUAGAAUACCAAACUAUACCAUCGUUCUCUGGUACAAACAAGAUGGAGUGUUCACAUAGAAUACCAAACUAUACCAUCGUUCU
rnacentral:lncRNA from 1 species